rnacentral:rRNA from 1 species
UAGUCCACACCGUAAACGAUGAAUGCCAGACGUCGGGGGCUUGCCCUUCGGUGUCACACCUAACGGAUUAAGCAUUCCGCCUGGGGAGUACGGUCGCAAGAUUAAAACUCAAAGGAAUUGACGGGGGCCCGCACAAGCGGUGGAGCAUGUGGUUUAAUUCGAUGCAACACGAAGAACCUUACUGGACUUAAAUGUAGAUUGCAUGAAUCAGAGAUGGUUCUUUCUUCGGACUAUUUACAAGGUGCUGCAUGGUUGUCGUCAGCUCGUGUCGUGAGAUGUUGGGUUAAGUCCCGCAACGAGCGCAACCCUUGUCUUUAGUUGCCAUCAUUUAGUUGGGCACUCUAGAGAAACUGCCGGUGACAAACCGGAGGAAGGUAAGGAUGACGUCAAGUCAGCAUGCCCCUUACGCUCUGGGCUACACACGUGCUACAAUGGUCGUGACAAAGAGUUGCUAGUCUGCGAAGGCAAGCCAAUCUCAUAAACGCGGCCUUAGUUCGGAUUGCAGG